AUUGAACGCUGGCGGCAUGCCUUACACAUGCAAGUCGAACGGCAGCACGGGCUUCGGCCUGGUGGCGAGUGGCGAACGGGUGAGUAAUGCAUCGGAACGUACCGUGUAAUGGGGGAUAACGUAGCGAAAGUUACGCUAAUACCGCAUACGCCCUGAGGGGGGAAAGUGGGGGACCGCAAGGCCUCACGUUAUACGAGCGGCCGAUGUCGGAUUAGCUAGUUGGUGGGGUAAAGGCCUACCAAGGCGACGAUCCGUAGCGGGUCUGAGAGGAUGAUCCGCCACACUGGGACUGAGACACGGCCCAGACUCCUACGGGAGGCAGCAGUGGGGAAUUUUGGACAAUGGGCGCAAGCCUGAUCCAGCCAUGCCGCGUGAGUGAAGAAGGCCUGGUUGUAAGCUCUUUCUAGCAGGAACGAAACGGUAGGCCGACUAAU
rnacentral:rRNA from 1 species